rnacentral:rRNA from 1 species
CCUACGGGAGGCAGCAGUGGGGAAUAUUGGACAAUGGGGGCAACCCUGAUCCAGCCAUGCCGCGUGUGUGAAGAAGGCCCUCGGGUUGUAAAGCACUUUCAGUGAGGAAGAACGCCUGGUGGUUAAUACCCAUCAGGAAAGACAUCACUCACAGAAGAAGCACCGGCUAACUCCGUGCCAGCAGCCGCGGUAAUACGGAGGGUGCGAGCGUUAAUCGGAAUUACUGGGCGUAAAGCGCGCGUAGGUGGCUUGAUAAGCCGGUUGUGAAAGCCCCGGGCUCAACCUGGGAACGGCAUCCGGAACUGUCCAGCUAGCGUGGCGGAGAGGAAGGUAGAAUUCCCGGUGUAGCGGUUAAAUGCGUAGCGUUCGCGAGGAAUACCAGUGGCGAAGGCGGCCUUCUGGACUGACACUGACACUGAGGUGCGAGAGCGUGGGUAGCAAACAGGAUUAGAUGCCGUUGUAGUC